AGUGUGAUUGCUGGAUGAUAUGGUAAGAGUGUGUUUACAUUUGUAAGAAACUGCCAAGCUGUCUUUCAAAGUGGCUGCACCAUUUGCAUUCCCACCAGCAGU
rnacentral:pre_miRNA from 1 species